UGUAAGCGUAUACCAAAGUUGUUGCAGUUAAAACGCUCGUAGUCGGAAUUUGGCAGUUCCGGAUGUGUGCACGUCGUGUGCGCAAUUCGCGGGGAUUGCUUUUGUGGUCUUGCGUAGGAUGAGGCACUUUUAUUAGUGAACGUCCUCACGCAACCACUUUUUACUGUGAGAAAAUCAGAGUGCUCAAAGCAGGCAUUUGCCGUGAAUGUAUUAGCAUGGAAUAAUAGAAUAGGACUUGGUUCUAUUUUGUUGGUUUGUUGGGACUGAGUAAUGAUUAAGAGGGACAGUUGGGGGCAUUUGUAUUUCGGUGCUAGAGGUGAAAUUCUUAGAUUACCGAAAGACAAACUGCUGCGAAAGCGUCUGCCAAGGAUGUUUUCAUUGA
rnacentral:rRNA from 1 species